GACGAACGCUGGCGGCGUGCUUAACACAUGCAAGUCGAACGAGAACCACUUUAGUUUACUAGAGUGUAGUAAAGUGGCGCACGGGUGAGUAACACGUGGGCAACCUGCCUAUAAGACUGGGAUAACUUCGGGGAAACCGGAGCUAAUACCGGAUAAUUCACAUCUACACAUGUAGAUGUGCUGAAAGACGGUUUACGCUGUCACUUAUAGAUGGGCCCGCGGCGCAUUAGCUAGUUGGUGAGGUAAUGGCUCACCAAGGCAACGAUGCGUAGCCGACCUGAGAGGGUGAUCGGCCACACUGGGACUGAGACACGGCCCAGACUCCUACGGGAGGCAG
rnacentral:rRNA from 1 species